GACGAACGCUGGCGGCGUGCCUAACACAUGCAAGUCGAACGGAAACACCCUGCUUUUUUGGGCUUCCCGGGUGGCGAACGGGGAAGUAACAGGUGUGUAUCCUGCUCUUGUUUUUGGGAUAACUUAACGUAAGUGGGCCUACUCUCGUACCGCAUCCCACGUACCGUGGUGGGCGUUGGAAAUUCUGGGCGGUUGGGGAUGGACUCGCGGCUUACGAGUUUGCUGGUUGGCUAGGUGCUGACCAAGGCUUUGACCGGUCGGCGGCCUGAGAGGGUGGCCGGCCACAUUGGGACUGAGAUACGGCCCAGACUCCUACGGGAGGCAGCAGUGGGGAAUAUUGCACAAUGGGCGGAAGCCUGAUGCAGCAACGCCGCGUGCGGGAUGACGGCCUUCGGGUUGUAAACCGCUUUCGCCUGUGACGAAGCGUGAGUGACGGUAAUGGGUAAAGAAGCACCGGCUAACUACGUG
rnacentral:rRNA from 1 species